ensembl:rRNA 5S_rRNA 5S ribosomal RNA
AUGGCCAUACCACCUGAAUCUCCUCUGAUCUUAGAAGCUAAGCAGGGUCAUGCCUGGUUAGUACUUGGAUGGGAGAAAGAAGGU